rnacentral:tRNA from 1 species
GAGCUGGGGCUCAGCGGUAGAGUGCUCACCUUGCACGUUCGAGAUCCUGGGUUCAAUCCUCAGCACCACA